GCGCCCGUAGCUCAGCUGGAUAGAGCGUCGCCCUCCGGAGGCGAAGGCCGGGGGUUCGAAUCCUCUCGGGCGCGCCA
rnacentral:tRNA from 1 species